AUAUAUGAUAUCUAAAAUCAUGGAAACAGCUUCAUAUUCCUGCUCAAAGUAUAAUUUGAAAAUAAUUUAGUAGGGAUAAAGCAUGAUUUCUAUUCGCUGAUAAUUUUUUUGUGCUGUUUUACAGUCCAAGCCGAAGACGAAGAAGGCCGCACUAAAACGCCCCCGCCGUGCCUCAAGUCUGGCUGUGAGCCUGGCUUGGGGCAUUAGUGAGGCUCUAAAGAUGGUGUGCUUUCUAAAGUGGCAGAGUUUAGGAGACCCGGGUGGAGUGACUGGAGGAUGGCCGCCACUCUUGGCUGGCCACCUCAGCCCUCCGGCUCUUCAAUUCAGAGGGUGGCAACCCCCACGGGGGUUAAUAGAAAAUAUAAAGAGCAUUCCGAGAAUGGACUAUAAACGUAGUCAUUCGCCAAGAAGCAAGGAGAGUCGAAAAUAUUCAAGAUGCCACCCCAGCUGUGCAAGAACUUAAGUUCUGUUGCAUUUUGGGAUGUGAAAAUUUUUAAAAACUCUACAGACGACACAACAGGCCACCCAGUGGCUCCGAAAGUUGAGGAAGCUCCAAGAAGGUUGAGGAAGCUCUCAGAAGGUUGAGGUAGCUCCAAGAAGGUUGAGGAAGCUCUCAGAAGGUUGAGGUAGCUCUCCUGGGGGCGCCACAGCCCGGUUUCCCCUGAAAGCGAGAAAGAAGGUGAAGCCUGGGAAAGAAGUAGUAAUGAGUAGAUCUGGCAGAGCAGUGAGGAGAUCUUACUGGACAGCCCCAAACCAGG